UGCAAGUCGAGCGGCAGCGCGACCUUCGGGUUGGCGGCGAGCGGCGAACGGGUGAGUAAUACAUCGGAACGUACCUUUUAGUGGGGGAUAACGCAUCGAAAGAUGUGCUAAUACCGCAUAAUCUCUGAGGAGGAAAGGCGGGGACUCGUAAGAGCCUGUCGCUGAAAGAGCGGCCGAUGGUCGAUUAGCUAGUUGGCGGGGUAAAAGCCCACCAAGGCGAUGAUCGAUAGCGGGUCUGAGAGGACGAUCCGUCACACUGGGACUGAGACACGGCCCAGACUCCUACGGGAGGCAGCAGUGGGGAAUUUUGGACAAUGGGGGAAACCCUGAUCCAGCAACGCCGCGUGAAUGAAGAAGGCCUUAGGGUUGUAAAGUUCUUUUGUCAGGGAAGAAAGUUUCUGUGCUAAUACCAUAGAACGAUGACGGUACCUGAAGAAUAAGCACCGGCUAACUACGUGCCAGCAGCCGCGGUAAUACGUAGGGUGCAAGCGUUAAUCGGAAUUACUGGGCGUAAAGCGUGCGCAGGCGGAUAUGUAAGUUAGAAGUGAAAUCCCCGGGCUCAACCUGGGAACUGCUUUUAAGACUGCGUAUCUAGAGUUUGUCAGAGGGGGGUGGAAUUCCAAGUGUAGCAGUGAAAUGCGUAGAGAUUUGGAGGAACACCGAUGGCGAAGGCAGCCCCCUGGGAUAAAACUGACGCUCAUGCACGAAAGCGUGGGUAGCAAACAGGAUUAGAUACCCUGGUAGUCCACGCCCUAAACGAUGUCUACUUGCUGUUGGGGGUAACCUUAGUAGCGAAGCUAACGCGAGAAGUAGACCGCCUGGGGAGUACGGUCGCAAGAUUAAAACUCAAAGGAAUUGACGGGGACCCGCACAAGCGGUGGAUGAUGUGGAUUAAUUCGAUGCAACGCGAAAACCUUACCUGCUCUUGACAUGUACGGAAG
rnacentral:rRNA from 1 species